UAAUGUUUUAAAAUUUAAACUACAAAUAUUAAAUAUUAAAUUAUAAAGUUAAAUAUUUUCAAAACAUUAUCUCAAACCAUAUCUAUUUCGAACCUUUAACCCUAAACCCUGAACCACAUACUUUGACCUAUACCAUAAAACAUUAAACUUCAAACUUUAAAAAAAAAAUAAUUAAUCAUCUACCAUAAAUUCUAACUACAAAUGUUAAAACUCUAAUAUUUUUGUUAUUUAAAAAUAUAUUCUUAAAUCUUAAAUCGAAACCCUAAACACUAUAUACCAAACCCUAAACUCACUCA
rnacentral:lncRNA from 1 species